AGUACUUGAGCCAUAUCAUAGCCCAAAACUAUAUGUUAUCGGCUGGUUGGUCGAAAAUGACAUAAAUGUCUGAAUUAUGCAGGUAAAUGAAUUACAAUACAUAAAUCAUAUGAAUAAUAGCAUAAUGAAGUGAGAUAGAAAAAGAAUAAUAUCAUCCCAUGACCUAGUAAAGUCGGUACAAGACUAUCUAAUCAAAAGAAUAUAAGUAUUUACAAAGUCAAAUAUAAAACAGUCUCAAAAUCAAAA
rnacentral:lncRNA from 1 species